GAGAGAGAGAAAAUAUAUGAGCUCUGAAGACCCUCUGGGUUUAGCAGACACGCUCUGCAACACUCUUGAGUUUUUCUGUCUCCUUAUCCUCCUUUGUUUCUUCUCUGUUCGUUCGCUCGCUCGCUCGCUAGCUAUAGCUCGUGAUGCUCCGUUUAAAGAAAUGGUUAGAGGAAAGGAAUUUGAAGAUGCUCGUAUGAGCUCGAAGGAUUUCUGCUCAUGAGAAUUAAAAGAAGAAGAAUUUCUGGAGAUGGAAUCUCUGAUGAUAUAUUUUAGUUUUUCGAUGCAAAAGAUUUGACUGCAAAGAGACAGGAAGUUUGUUUUAAAGGUCUAGUGUUGUGCUCGAAUGAGUUCUGAUAUAGUAGGCCGUAGGUAGGAAUGUUUAGAUAAGGCACAAAUCUCAAAAGGCCGUGGAAGGUCUGAGAGUAACUCUGCAGUCUGUAUAUAGACAGAGAAGGAGGUUGAAAGCUGAAAUCGUCGAGAAUCCGUUAGGGCGCCGAUAUUCGGAGGCUCUCCGGGAUUUUGUGAAGAUAGAGCUUUCAGGUGAAGUUUGCUUAAUUUGUUGAAGGUCGAGCCGCUAUCCGUGCUCAGAUUUUGGUUUAGCAGAGUUUUGGAAGCAAUCUGCACAGAUUCUUGAAGGAGGGGAUUGUUGGAGGGAAAGCCGGAAAGGUGAAGGUGAAGGACGAAUAAUAAGUUAAAUCUGUUGACUCCUUCAGAAAAGGAGGGGUUGGGAGCUUUUAAACGCUUUAAAUUCAGAAAUCAGUUUCGAUUUGAAACUGGAAGUUACAGAAGCAUCCGCCAUCAAAAGCAUGCACAGUAGUUUCUAAUCCAACCUAUCCGGAACUCUGAAAACUCUUGUACAAGAGAAAGAAAAAGGAGUCAAAUCAGGUAGAGACAAACAACCUCCCCUGCUAGAUUGUCUAGAAUGGCUUCAAAUUUGUUGGAAAUGCAAGAACCAAGCGUCGAUACCGACAAGCUCAGCUACGAGAUCUUCUCUAUUCUCGAAAGCAAAUUUCUCUUCGGCUACGAUGAUCAGAAGCUCUGGAUGCCGAAACAGAUAUCUCCAGCUAACGAAACAAAAGCUGGGGCUGCUGAGCCGGCAGCCACUGACAAUGGCGUAUCGGCAAUCAAGAACCAGAGAGGUAAGGUCUGCAUUCUCAGCAUCGAUGGCGGAGGCAUGCGGGGGAUACUAGCAGGUAAAGCCCUAGCUUACCUCGAGCAAGCCCUCAAGAACAAAUCGGGCAACCCCGACGCUAGAAUCGCCGAUUAUUUCGAUGUUGCCACGGGGACUGGCGUCGGAGGGAUCUUCACGGCGAUGCUCUUUGCCACCCAAGGAGGCGGCCGUCCCAUUUUCCGCGCGGAGGACACGUGGAAGUUCUUGGCGGAGCAGGGGAAGCGAUUCCUUCCAUCAUCAGUCGGUUCAUUUUCUGCCGGAGGAUUUUUCCGGCGAUUAUUUAAGGGUGGAACAAGCGGCUCAACCGGUUCCACAACAGCCGGUUUAGAACGGGCCAUGAAAGAUGCGUUUACGGCAAACGGUCGGAAUCUGACGCUCAAGGAUACCUUGAAGCCGGUGUUGAUACCAUGUUACGAUCUCUCGAGCUCGGCGCCAUUUCUCUUCUCCCGAGCUGACGCGCUUGAGACAGACAGCUUCGAUUUCCGGUUGUGGGAGGUGUGUCGAGCCACUUCGGCUGAGCCGGCGUUUUUUGAACCGGUGGGUAUGCGAUCGAUUGACGGGCAGACUCGGUGCGUAGCGGUCGAUGGAGGGCUGGCCAUGAGCAAUCCUGCCGCCGCGGCGAUCACGCACGUACUGCACAACAAGCAAGAGUUCCCUUUCGUACGAGGGGUGGAGGACCUUAUGGUCUUGUCUCUGGGGAGCGGUCAGCUUCUCGAAGGUAGCUACGACUACGAGCAGGUGAAGGGGUGGAAGGCCAAGGAUUGGGCCAGACCCAUGGCUCGAAUCGCCGGCGACAGUGCCGCCGAUUUGGUUGAUCAUGCCGUUGCUAUGGCAUUCGGGCAGAGUCGUAGCAGCAAUUACGUCCGUAUCCAGGCAAACGGAUCGAAUUUGGGGCAAUGGGGAGCCAAUGUGGAUAAGGACUGGAGCCCGAGCAAUGUAAAGAUGCUGGUGGGCAUGGCGGAAGAGAUGCUGAAACAGAAGAAUGUGGAGUCGGUAAUGUUCGGUGGGAAGAGGAUAGCAGAACAGACCAAUUUCGAGAAACUCGAUUGGUUCGCUGGAGAACUGGUGCUUGAGCAUCAGAGGAGGAGCUGCAGAAUAGCUCCCACAGUCGCAUUCAAGCAAGCUAGCUCCAAAGGCUUAUCUAAACUACCCCCAAAUUAAGAUUGGUGGGGGUAAAGCAGAGAAAAAGAAAAACAAAAAUGUAAGCAAAUCCUCCCCUGUUGUAAUUUUCCCACUUCUUUCAUUAAUCUUGUUUUUUCGGUGCAGAGUUGUGGCAUUGUGUCCGACUCGCACUGAUUUGAUUCUUCAAGAAAUUCGAUUUGAGUGAAGUCUUCUUCAAAGAAUGAAGAGGAAGAGAAAGAACAAAAGAGAAAAAAAGGAUGUAAAUAUGGCAGAGCAGCUUUUACUUUUGAGAGGAGGAGAAGGAAAAGCAAGAGAAGUUAGAAUUUCAGGGGAAUUGUGAAGGGAUUUUAUUAGAUUUUGUUGCCUGCCAGAAGACCAGCAGCAGUGAAUGUGGUGUCGCAUCUCGCGUCCUCUCAACCAUUCGACCCUCGGCCCCAGAGAGAAAAGGUUUCAAUGAAGGUGGGUGGGUGAGUUUGGUUUCACGUUUGAGCUUUGGAGUUUGGAGUUUGGAGUCAGAUGACCAGGCUUGGCUUCCAACUUCCAACUCUUCCAAGUGGGAAUAGUAAAUUCACCCCUUUCUUUUUACAAUUCAUACUGAUUCUUCUCCUCGUCUCUUCUCUCCUCUCUGUCCUUUUCAGUUUUCUUCAUCCUUUUGUCGCUUUUCUGUUUCCUUGUGACCUUAAACUUGGGUUUGGUUUGGGGGUACCCACCUGAAAGCAAAGUCUUCAGAAGAAACAGGUAAACAAAGAAGCCCAAGGAAGAGGAGACAGCCCCACGAUUUCAAAUAACUUUUCCAUUGUUUGUUCAUGUUGUUUUCCCUAUGGCUUGUGUAUUCUGUAGCAGUGGCGAUUGGGGAAGGGAUCUGUUGUGUUUUCCCAAUCCCCCUUUUCCAACCAACUGUAUCUGUCUCCACUCUUGUGGAAAGAGCAAGGAUUUAGUUAUAAUUCGAUAUUAUACAAUCUCAGAUCAA